rnacentral:rRNA from 1 species
UCAAGUUACUAAGGGUGCAUGGUGGAUGCUCUGGUGCCAAGAAGCGAUGAAAGACGUGGCGUGGCUGCGAUAAGCCUCGGUGAGCCGCCAAGCAGGCUUUGACCCGGGGAUGUCUGAAUGGGGAAACCCUCUGCGUUGAAGACGUGGAAACCGGCUCUGAAUUCAUAGGGGUCGGUGGCGAACGGGGUGAACUGAAACAUCUAAGUAACCCCAGGAAAAGAAAGAAACCUCGACUUCCUGAGUAGCGGCGAGCGAAACGGAAACAGCCUAAACCGGCGUUAUGUAAGCCCGAGAGCGUUGUAGCGUCGGUGUUGUGGGAGCGUCUGGCUCGGAUCUCGGCCCGAGCAAGAGGUUACAAAAGACUCGUCUAGCUGAAGGAUCUGGAAAGAUCCCCCAUAGCGGGUGAUAGGCCCGUAGGCGAAAGGCGUGUCUCCUCUGGACGAUUUCCCGAGUAGCGCCAGUCUCGUGAAACCUGGCGUGAAUCUGGGGGGACCACCCCCUAAGGCUAAGUAUUCCUUGGCAUCCGAUAGCGAAUAGUAGCGUGAGUGAAUAGUGAAAAGAACCCCUGCUAGGGGAGUGAAAUAGAACCUGAAACCAUGUAUCUACAAGCUGUGGGAACUCUAUGGCGUUUACGUCACGAGUGACCGCGUGCCUUUUGCAUAAUGGGCCGGCGAGUUACCGUCUGUUGCAAGGUUAAGUCCCUCAGGGACGGAGCCGUAGCGAAAGCGAGUGUGAAAUGCGCGACUCAGUAGCAGGCGGUAGACCCGAAAGCGAGUGAUCUAUCCAUGGCCAGGUUGAAGCGGGUGUAAAAACCCGUGGAGGACCGAACACACUAACGUUGAAAAGUUAGGUGAUGAGCUGUGGAUAGGAGUAAAAGGCUAAUCAAACUCGCAGAUAUCUGGUUCUCCCCGAAAUAGCUUUAGGGCUAGCCUCAGGUUAUAGCUGCUGGGGGUAGAGACACUGAUCGGGAUUGUGGGGGCUUCCAGCCUACCCGUCCUGGCCAAACUCCGAAUACCAGCAGCCUUAUCCUGGGAGUCAGACCUUGGGGGAUAAGCUCCAUGGUCGAGAGGGAAACAACCCAGACCGCCAGCUAAGGUCCCAAAUACGAACUAAGUGAUAAAGGAAGUGUCAGUGCUAAGACAGCCAGGAUGUUGGCUUAGAAGCAGCCACCAUUUAAAAAGUGCGUAAUAGCUUACUGGUCGAGCACUUUCGCGCCGAAAAUACUAGGGGCUAAGUUUGUAACCGAAGCUGCGGGAUGCAUAGCAUCAGUAGGGGAGCGUUCCACGUUAGGUUGAAGGGGUACCGUGAGGAGCCCUGGACGAUGUGGAAGUGAGACUGCCGGCAUGAGUAGCGAUAAAAUGAGUGAGAAUCCCAUUCGCCGAAAACCUAAGGUUUCCUGGGGAAGGCAAAUCCGCCCAGGGUUAGUCGGCACCUAAGGCGAGGCCGAAAGGCGUAGUCGAUGGACAGCAGGUUAAUAUUCCUGCACCACUCAUGUGGACGGACAGGGGUGACGGAGCUUGAAUAAUGAUCGCCCGGGUGAAAGUGGGCGUUUCUGGCCUGAGGGUCGCUGUAGGUAAAUCCGCAGCAUCAUGGCUCAGGGGCUGGACGGAGUUCUCUUUUGGACGAACUCGUUUGAAGGGCUUCCAAGAAAAUCCUCGGUUCGGUUGAAGCAUGAGUGACCGUACUAAAACUGACACAGGUAGGUGGGGUGAGAAUCCUAAGGCGCUCGAGAGAACCCUCGUUAAGGAACUCGGCAAAAUGACUCCGUAACUUCGGGAUAAGGAGUGCCCCCGCGGGUGAUAGGUUACACCUUGAGUCUGGGGGGGUCGCAGUGAAAUGGCGGUAGCGACUGUUUACUAAAAACACAGGUCUCUGCUAAGACGGCUAAGUCGAUGUAUAGAGACUGACGCGUGCUCGGUGCCGGAAGGUUAAAGGGACGGGUUAUCCCUUCGGGGAGAAGCUCAGAACUGAAGCCCCGGUAAACGGCGGCCCUAACUAUGAGGGUCCUAAGGUAGCGAAGUUCCUUGUCGGGUAAGUUCCGACCGAGGGACUCGGCGAAAUUGCAUUAGCGGUGAAGAUGCCGCUUACCCGCGACUAGACGGAAAGACCCCGUGAACCUUUACUUCAGCCAAGUAUUGGGCUUAGGUACAUCAUGUGUAGGAUAGGUGGGAGGCCUUGAAGCGGGAGCGCUAGCUCUCGUGGAGCCAUCCUUGAAAUACCACCCUUGUUGUUCUUGAUUUCUAACUCGGUUCCGUGAAUCCGGGCCGGGGACAGUGCUUGGUGGGUAGUUUGACUGGGGCGGUCUCCUCCUAAAAGGUAACGGAGGAGCCCAAAGGCAUCCUCAGUGCGGUCGGCAAUCGCACGUAGAGUGUAAGGGUAUAAGGAUGCUUGACUGCGAGACCUACAAGUCGAGCAGGUGUGAAAGCAGGGCUUAGUGAUCCGGCGGUUCCAUGUGGAAGGGCCGUCGCUCAACGGAUAAAAGGUACUCCGGGGAUAACAGGCUGAUCUCCCCCAAGAGUCCGCAUCGACGGGGAGGUUUGGCACCUCGAUGUCGGCUCAUCGCAUCCUGGGGCUGGAGAAGGUCCCAAGGGUUUGGCUGUUCGCCAAUUAAAGC